UACGAAGGGGGCUAGCGUUGCUCGGAAUCACUGGGCGUAAAGCGCACGUAGGCGGACUCUUAAGUCGGUGGUGAAAUCCUGGAGCUCAACUCCAGAACUGCCUUCGAUACUGGGAGCUCGAGUCCGGGAGAGGUGAGUGGAACUGCGAGUGUAGAGGUGAAAUUCGUAGAUAUUCGCAAGAACACCAGUGGCGAAGGCGGCUCACUGGCCCGGUACUGACGCUGAGGUGCGAAAGCGUGGGGAGCAAACAGG
rnacentral:rRNA from 1 species